CUAGUUAGGUUUCAGCAGUCAUCAGUGUAGUGAGACAUGGGACAUUUAGCACCUUGGACUUUACACUCUGGAUGUUCUGUCUGAUGCUGUCACUGUUAAUUUAAUCAACAGGAUGAAUGGUGAGAAAGCACUGAAACUAAGCUGCUGAUCUUAGACAACGAUCUGUAACCUGGACCUUCCUACAGUAGAAGCUUAUUGUGACUUCUGUUGUUAUCACGAAGCGAUAGAUUAACACAAUCAACCCGACGUCUUGGGCUCUAUGACCCAUAAUGCUUUCUUUAAUUGUGCCCGUUUCGCAGACCUUACACGGCCUGAUACGGAGGGAGCACAUUUGACCAUCCGUUAUGAGCUCCAGUCUCUGAUGGUCACUGUGUUUCCACUCCACAUGCCAAUCUUCCUCAGCUAUCUCAGGUUUGGCCCGUCAUCCUCGUCCACGAUUUUCAUCUGUAAGACUCAGCUGAGCAGCUGUGCCCUUGGACUGCCUGCAUGUCGGGAAACAGCUGUGGGGAUUCACGAUACCUUAACUAAUUCCACAUUCUGCCCUGAGGAAAGCCAGCCAUGUGAGAUCAUGGUUUAAGCGUGCAGUUUAAAUCAUCUCCCUCCUGACACCAAACCCCGACUCUGCCAACUUCUCCCUGUGUAUCCUGUGCAUCGCGACGCUGAGCCGUGGAAGUGGGACGUGUCUCUCCCUCUCUCUCUCUCUCUCUCUCUCCCUCUCUCUAUGAUCCAGUUUAUCUCACCCCUCCGGAUCCUCGUGGGGCUUUUGACCAAACGGUACCGAGUCCAACCUCACAUCAUGUAAACAGUGUUUUCAAAAAGAACAACACAAACAAGCUCACUCGUUUUGGAGUCGAAUAAGCUGCACCAAAAGACAUCUGGACUUCCUUUUCAUACCUUUUAUUUGCCCACAGUGACAUCUUGUGGUUGAACUUUGCAAUGACAGUACAAUACAUGCAGAACAUGCCACCAUAUGAGGAGGUUCUUUAACAUCAUAACUCCGCGCUUUAAAGGGAAAUCCCUGUAUUACUAUUAUUAUUUAAAUUUUAAUAAAUGUAACCAUAAAACAACAGUGUGCAACUAUUAGUGGUUUUUUUUUACAUUCUGUCUCUGUUUGGUCUUUGUGAACAGAGAUUAAGUAACAUUAUUUGUAUGAUGCUCUGUCAAGCAAUACCCAAAGGUAAAAAGAGUGCUGAAAUAUUCUACUCUGGUAAAAGUACCACUAUUUUCAUAAGAUUACUUAAGUACAAGUAAAAGUACUGGUCUAAAAUGUAAAAAAAAAAAAAGUAGCUCGUUCAAAAUGUGUCGUUUAAAAGUUGCUUUGUUACUUUUUUAACAAGGUUGGGGUUCUUUCUUGUGUCGUGCAAAAAGGACAAGGGGACACAAACCUCACAUUUAUUGUUUUCAAUUAAAGGCAAACCUUUACAAAUUAAAGUUCUGAUAAAAUAACAUGGAAACACAUAAUGUAUCAGUCAAAACAGGUCAAAGGUCACAAAUGCUUUAACUUUCACACUCACUCUAAUUCACUCCAAUUCACCUGUCCUUAUCGUUCACCUGUCCUCACAUUUACUCAGUAACGGAUGUGAUUUAAAACAAAGUGAAGUACAGUAUUCCA